GAAUACACUUUAGACACAUAAUAUGCAGGAUCUUGUAACCCUGACCCGAGGAAGGGUGUAAGGCGAGCAUGGGACACUCAGAUGCUGAGCGCUCUGGGAUAGGACAUCCGCACAUCAGAGUGUGUGAGGUUAGUGAGGAAAUCAUAGCAGAAAACAAAUACCAAAUCCCUUUUGUACAAAGAUAAACUUCAGGAUGGGCCUGCAGUUUCUGUAGGGCUGUGGCUACUGUUUGCAUACGGCUAUUGUGAUGCAGCUGACAACGUGUCAUGUAGACAUAUUGACAUUAUUUUCGGGUAAGUCAGAUUGAUUUGCUUGUACUCCCAUUAAUGCCAACAUUCAGGUGAGUUUUCCAACGUUUUCCCCCUUAGGGUCGAUGUUAGCAAUAUAAAUUAUAAAUUUUUUGACUGAGAUGCUGGAAUUAAUCAAAUACAUUUGUAACCACUUAAACAUUUAUGAAUUCAUAUCUUGACAGUCAGAGUGUGGUGAAGCUACUUUGAACAUCCCCAUAGCAACCAGCAUAUGGGCUUUGAAGAAAAUACUCUUCAGAACCACUUUGACUAAGAUAUUUUCCAAACUUACUAACACCCCAUUGGGAAUGAGGCACUGUUCUGGGUUUUAAUUCUGUGUUUGAGAAUAUGAAAACUGAUCUCUAUUUGUUUUUAUGUCUAUGUAUUGUAUCUGUCUUGCUUUAAGAUUACGGGCAGGGACGACCCAGCAAAGUGCGGAGUGGAGCGACCCUACACCACACGUGUAACUAGCAAGGGGACCGCGGCUGUACCUGUGGUCUCCAUCUCAUCCAGUGCGGAGGUUUGAGAGGAACCCUGGAGCAUCCGAUGCACCUCUCAGAGAACUCUCUAAAUGUUUUGCAGCUAAUCUCGGGGAAGAAAAAGAUAGAUUUAAUUUAUUUGAAGUUUUUACAGUGUUAAUCUUGUUUACCUUGCUAGCUUGGGAAUUUUGCCAGCCUCUGAAUUUGCACAUUUUCUAUGAUUCCUUUGUUUCCUUGAAGUAGUAUUGAUCAAGCCACGCUAAACAUUUGUUCUGAAAUUCCAAUGAACGUGCAGCUUAAAAGCAAACUGAGUUUGCUCUUGGGUGUAAUUUGUUCAAUUCCAGGUCCUUGUACACGCAUUUUAGAGGUCAAAGUGAAUGUUUUUAUAACAUUUAAGCAUAUUUCCAAUGUAAAUAGAAGAUUGUAAAAUAUAUGGUUUUUAUCACAUUUCAAAGAAUGUUUUUAGUUGAUACUUAUGAAAGUACCAAAAUUAUAUGGGUAACGUUUCAGAUGUUAUAUUAAAAUAUUUGUGUAUGUGUAAAAACUGUUGAUAAAUACUAAUCUCU
rnacentral:lncRNA from 1 species